rnacentral:lncRNA from 1 species
GUGAAUGUUAUCCAACAUGAGUAGUAUUAUGUUUGUGGACAAGUGCCACUAACAUCUAAGUGAAUUAACCCUCAACAACUUUGUGAUUCUUUCUUCUUUCCAAAAGAAUAAAGAUUCGAACAUUUCGCCUCUAUACAAUUUUAACAAGAAGGUAUUGGAUCCGGAUCUAACGAUCCAAAGCAUCCAUCUUUCACCAACUCGUAAUUUAUGUUUUAGAGGUAUCACAACUUUAGUUGGGAUUAGUCACUACCUUGCAACCUUUUGGGUUUUAAGCAUCAUUAUUUUCUAAACAGUUAACACUACCAUAUUAUCUCUAUUAUAGAGAUAAUUAAUUAGAUUACCAUAAUCCAAUCAUUGAUUAAUAAAGAACAUUGUUUUGUCAAACAAAACAU